rnacentral:sRNA from 1 species
GGAGGUGAGGGUGAUCUGGCUGUGACAUCUGUCACCCCACUGAUCACCAGGGUUGAUUGGGCUGCUAUGGCUGGCUAGGCAGGUGUCCCUGUCCUCCCCCACUGAUUCAUGUACAUCCCUCCCAAAGCUGUGUGCUCGGUGGAAGAGGAUGACCUUCCCCAAAUAGAGGAGGACCGGUCUUCCAUCAGGGCUCACAAGUAGCUGCCCUCCCCUGCUAGGACCUCCAAACAAGCUCUCACAGGUUUGGGUUCAUCCUCGGCUACAAAGAAAAUUUGAGGCCAGCCUAGGCUAUAUGAGAUCCUA